rnacentral:rRNA from 1 species
UACAGAGGUCUCAAGCGUUGUUCGGAUUCAUUGGGCGUAAAGGGUGCGUAGGUGGCGAGGUAAGUCGGAUGUGAAAUCUCCAAGCUCAACUUGGAAACUGCAUUCGAUACUGCUUUGCUAGAGGAUUGUAGAGGGCAUUGGAAUUCACGGUGUAGCAGUGAAAUGCGUAGAUAUCGUGAGGAAGACCAGUGGCGAAGGCGAAUGCCUGGGCAAUUCCUGACACUGAGGCACGAAGGCCAGGGGAGCAAACGGG